ensembl:snoRNA
GAGCCAGCCAAUGAAUCUGCUUCCUUGAAAGUGUUUCUGCAGAAAUGUUUAAGAAGCUGGUGAUAGCACAGCCAUGUUGUGGGCCUUAAGGACACUGAAGUUGUUAAGGUCCCUGAAAAUGGCCACAGCA